rnacentral:tRNA from 1 species
AWUGGUCGGGAUAGCUCAGUGUAGAGCAGAGACUGAAUCUCUGCGUGGGGGGGGGGGUUGGGUGUCGAUCCGACGAGCUAGAGAGGUGU